CUCAUACCAAAGCACAAAGGACUAUCUCUGUAAUAUGAAAGAGAAAAUUUCUAAGCCUGAAAGGCCAGUUAGGUUUUAUACACGCGGGAAUUAGUGAAUUUUUGCCUUUUUAUCAAGAACUAUGGGAAUUUCGCAUUUAUCAAUAAUUUUUUUCUCUUUAUUCUAUUCAUUUUCAACAAAUGUCGACGGUUUGUAAGCGUUCUCAUCUGUUAUAUUCUUUACUCUUUUUCUUAUAAUUCUUUUUACUUCUUUAAAAACAUCGAUAGCUUAAUCCCUCUCAUUAAACUUUAGGAUCCUCAAAUCACUCUAUGACGCCAGCUAGAAUUGAUACAGAAACAACAUCACUACCAAAACCUACGGAUUUGCUAUCUCCUAUUCCAAAAGAAGAUGGAAAUUUUAGUUGUAUCUUUUUCUUCAUAAAAAUCUGCAUAAACAUAUUUAUUUAAUAUUUUCUAUUAGCUUUUAUUGCCCUUACCUCGGGCAUCAUUUUUGGCUUUUUAUGGAUUAUAGCCAUGACUGCAUUAAUAUGGAAAUGUAGGCAAAUAUAUGCAGAAAAGCAGGACAUCGGAUCAAAUACUCCAAAAAGACAAGUUCAAAGACGAAAUGCUGAAAAUAAUCAUAGCAAUGAAACGGAAUCAACUAUAACAGGACCAAAUUCGUCUAUGGGAUCUCAAAUAUGUCUAUCAGAGCCUGUACUUCAGACGCUUCCACCCUUCGAAGUAAUCGAUUCACACUCUAAUAGAAAUUCCAGUAAUAUUGAAGUAUUACCAAUUCGGGAAAAUAAUUUACCUGAGGCCCCCAGUUCACAUACAGAUACUCCUCCACCAAUUCCACCAAAGAUGGAUUUGGACAGUGAAGUUGAAUAUAUAAAUGACUGUACAAAUUUAGACAAUGGUGAACAACUUGGAAACUCUUCUUCAGAUAAUUUAUCCCCUCCAACUCUUCCCUUUCGCAUUCGAUCUCUUACGCCACCGCCUCUUCCAGUUCGAAUACAAAGUACUCCUGCAGAAUUUGGCAACCGACCUCCUCAUGAUGGUCGAUACGAAAACACGAACGAUUUUAGAGUAUUUAAAACGCGAACAGCUAAUCAGUUCUUACAUUCUCCCCAGAUAGUCUCUACUCAAUACUUUAGGAGCAAUGAGGAAGCGAAUCUAGAUCCAACUGCCAAACCCCUCAAUCAUGAAUUCUUUCAACCAUCAACACGAAAUGCUAGAAGUAGAAUUACUAAGUCAGUAAGGUAUCAGGCAGGGACCAAAGUGAGAAGUAGCAGUGCCGAUGCACCAGGGAGAAUUAAUCCCUUUUAUUUGCAAAAGACUCCCAUUGAAAUUAGUCCAAUGCCCAGACUUGGAACCUAUCAACCGCAGAUAUUAUCUACUGGUGGAUUAUUACCCAUUGUGGGAAAUAAUUUGACUGUGCACGUGCCAGUUUACUAUAAACCGAUUCCUGCAUUAAAUCAAUAAUAACAAGAACCUAAGGUACUAUAUUCUGUAUUCAUUUAAGCGUUCAACUUUUGCUAAUUCGUCAUUAUAAGAGAAUUCCAAGAAAAAAAUUCAAUUACAGCCUAAUUUAGAAAAUGCAAAUGAUACAAUUUGUUAUUUUCUCUCCUUUUUUUCAAUUUCCGUUUCAUAAAUGGAGAACUGCUAAAAAGAAAUUUUUUUUCCCAUUUCCGAGUAAAAUACGAAGAUACUCGUAGUAUUAUUCUUCUAUCAUCGUCAACUUGAGAUAAUUUCCCCUAAUUGACUAUAAAUAAAUGAAUGAAUGAAAGAGUAUUAAAAAAAUGCUGUAGUAGAAAAAGAAGGAUAAGAAUAUAGAAACAAACGAAAGAUAUAAAUUUAUAUAUAAAGCGUAUACAGUAUAUAUAAAUAUUAUAUUAACAAUAAAAAUAACUUGACCGAAUCCUAUUCAAACCAAUUCUUAAAGGUAAUAAAAUUU
rnacentral:misc_RNA from 1 species